rnacentral:lncRNA from 1 species
GCCGAAGUCCUGGUGAUUAAACCGUCCCUGGCGUUAAGCUCACGUUUGCUUGCUUUACCUUGCUAUAUCGGUGCGCCCUGAGGGUCUGUUUACAGUUUCUUUUCUUGAAGGCAGAAAUUUCUGGUGUUCAGAGGAUGCUUUGAUCACCCUCGUGCAGACUCUGGUACUUGUUCCAGCGGAGGGCAGGUACCUCUAAGUAAAGUUGGAAGGGGGUGGGGAGGAAAUGGAAAAAGGAAGACAAGUUGGAAGGGAGAGAAUGACGCCAGCAGGCCUUGGGGCCCAGAGUGACACAGUAAAAUGUCCUUGGAUUCUUACCAGGAUCCAACAUUUGAAUGGAAGGCCUGUGGGCGAUGUUUGUAUUCAGUAAAAAGGCACAAAGUUAUUUCUAAGAGAAGCACAAACUGGACAAGAUGGAACUCAGAUCCAAGCUCACGUUUCCUCUGGAACAGAAAUAGCUGCCCACUGCCUGUGUCUUUAGAGGUGAAUUCGCUCCAGCAGGAACUAGAUUUGCCUGACCUUGCAUCCUGA